AAGCAAAGGAGCUGGGGAGUGGAGUGUAGGCACUAUAACCUGAAAGACGUGGUCCUGACAGGAGGACAAUUCUAUUCCCUACCAAAAUGAAGCUGCUGCUGCCGCUGCUUCUGCUCCUGUGUUUGGAACUGACUUUAGUCUGUAUCCAUGCAGAAGAAUCUAGUUCUAUGGAAAGGAACUUUAAUGUAGAACAGAUUAGUGGGUAUUGGUUUUCUAUUGCUGAAGCCUCUGAUGAAAGAGAAAAGAUAGAAGAACAUGGCAGCAUGAGAGCUUUUGUGGAAAACAUCACUGUCUUGGAGAAUUCCUUAGUCUUUAAAUUCCAUUUAAUUGUAAAUGAAGAGUGCACCGAAAUGACUGCGAUUGGUGAACAAACAGAAAAGGCUGGCAUAUAUUAUAUGAACUAUGAUGGAUUCAAUACAUUUAGUAUACUUAAGACAGACUAUGAUAAUUAUAUUAUGAUUCAUCUCAUUAACAAAAAGGAUGGGAAAACCUUCCAGCUGAUGGAGCUCUAUGGCCGAGAACCAGAUUUGAGUUUAGACAUCAAGGAAAAGUUUGCAAAACUAUGCGAGGAGCAUGGAAUCAUUAGAGAAAAUAUCAUUGACCUAACCAAUGUCAAUCGCUGCCUCGAGGCCCGAGAAUGAAGAAUGGCCUGAGCCUCCAGGUGGGCAAUAUACAAUGAGAGCAAGGAGGAGUGUUGAGUGGAGACUUUUCACCAGGACUCCAGCAUCAUCCCUUCCUAUCCAUACAGACUCCCAUGCCAAGGUCUGUGAUCUGCUCUCCACCUGUCUCACAGAGAAGUGCAAUCCCGUUCUCUCCAGCAUGUUACCUAGGAUAACUCAUCAAGAAUCAAAGACUUUCUUUAAAUUUCUCUUUGCCAACACAUGGAAAUUCUCCAUUGAUUUCUUUCCUGUCCUGUUCAAUAAAUGAUUACACUUGCACUUAAA